rnacentral:rRNA from 1 species
GAUGAACGCUGGCGGCGUGCUUAACACAUGCAAGUCGAACGAGGAUUUAACGGAAUGCGAUUCGUCAAAUGAAAUUAAAUCCGAGUGGCGGACGGGUGAGUAACGCGUGGAUAACCUGCCUCACACAGGGGGACAACAGUUGGAAACGACUGCUAAUACCGCAUAAGCCCACGACCCGGCAUCGGGAAGAGGGAAAAGGAGCAAUCCGCUUUGAGAUGGCCUCGCGUCCGAUUAGCUAGUUGGUGAGGUAACGGCCCACCAAGGCGACGAUCGGUAGCCGGACUGAGAGGUUGAACGGCCACACUGGAACUGAGACACGGUCCAGACUCCUACGGGAGGCAGCAGUGGGGAAUCUUCCGGCAAUGGGCGAAAGCCUGACGGAGCAACGCCGCGUGAGUGAUGACGGCCUCGGUGUAAGCUCUGUGAUCGGGACGAACGGUCCGUAA